rnacentral:rRNA from 1 species
GAUGAACGCUGGCGGCGUGCCUAAUACAUGCAAGUCGAGCGAACAGAUGAGGAGCUUGCUCCUCUGACGUUAGCGGCGGACGGGUGAGUAACACGUGGAUAACCUACCUAUAAGACUGGGAUAACUUCGGGAAACCGGAGCUAAUACCGGAUAAUAUAUUGAACCGCAUGGUUCAAUAGUGAAAGACGGUUUUGCUGUCACUUAUAGAUGGAUCCGCGCCGCAUUAGCUAGUUGGUAAGGUAACGGCUUACCAAGGCAACGAUGCGUAGCCGACCUGAGAGGGUGAUCGGCCACACUGGAACGGAGACACGGUCCAGACUCCUACGGGAGGCAGCAGUAGGGAAUCUUCCGCAAUGGGCGAAAGCCUGACGGAGCAACGCCGCGUGAGUGAUGAAGGUCUUCGGAUCGUAAAACUCUGUUAUUAGGGAAGAACAAAUGCGUAAGUAACUAUGCACGUCUUGACGGUACCUAAUCAGAAAGCCACGGCUAACUACGUG